UGUUCUGUGGCUUAGUUAGCUAAAGCACUGGUCUAGCGAAUACGGAUUCAUGGGUUCGAAUCCCACCAAAACGC
rfam:Aedes albopictus isolate Foshan contig39952, whole genome shotgun sequence.